UACGAAGGGGGCUAGCGUUGCUCGGAAUCACUGGGCGUAAAGCGCACGUAGGCGGAUUGUUAAGUCAGGGGUGAAAUCCUGGAGCUCAACUCCAGAACUGCCUUCGAUACUGGCGACCUUCGAGUCCGGGAGAGGUGAGUGGAACUCCGAGUGUAGAGGUGAAAUUCGUAGAUAUUCGGAAGAACACCAGUGGCGAAGGCGGCUCACUGGCCCGGUACUGACGCUGAGAUACGAAAGCGUGGGGAGCAAACAGG
rnacentral:rRNA from 1 species